rnacentral:rRNA from 1 species
CCUACGGGAGGCUGCAGUGAGGAAUUUUGGACAAUGGGGGGAACCCUGAUCCAGCGACGCCGCGUGAGUGAAGAAGUAUUUCGGUAUGUAAAGCUCGAUCAGCAGGGAAGAAAAUGACGGUACCUGACUAAGAAGCCCCGGCUAACUACGUGCCAGCAGCCGCGGUAAUACGGGGGAUGCGAGCGUUAUCCGGAUUUAUUGGGGUAAAAGGGUGCGUAGGCGGAAUGCCAAGUCAGCGGUAAAAUCGCGGGGCUCAACCUCGCCCCGCCGUUGAAACUGGCGUUCUUGAGUGGGCGAGAAGUAUGCGGAAUGCGUGGUGUAGCGGUGAAAUGCAUAGAUAUCACGCAGAACUCCGAUUGCGAAGGCAGUAUACCGGCGCCCAACUGACGCUGAAGCACGAAAGCGUGGGUAUCGAACAGGAUUAGAUACCCGUGUAGUC